AGAGUUUGAUCAUGGCUCAGAAUCAACGCUGGCGGCGCGCUUAACACAUGCAAGUCGCACGAGAAAGGGAGCAAUCCUAAGUAAAGUGGCGCACGGGUGAGUAACACGUGGAUCAUCUACCUUUUAGUGGGGAAUACCUCUGGGAAACCGGAGACAAUACCGCAUAAGCCCGCAAGGGGAAAGCAGCAAUGCGCUGAAAGAGGAGUCCGCGGCCGAUUAGCUAGUUGGCGGGGUAACGGCCCACCAAGGCGAAGAUCGGUAGCCGGCCUGAGAGGGCACACGGCCACACUGGCACUGAAACACGGGCCAGACUCCUACGGGAGGCAGCAGUGGGGAAUCUUGCACAAUGGGCGAAAGCCUGAUGCAGCGACGCCGCGUGAGCGAUGAAGCCCUUCGGGGUGUAAAGCUCUUUCGACGGGAACGAUAAUGACGGUACCCGGAGAAGAAGCUGCGGCUAACUACGUGCCAGCAGCCGCGGUAAUACGUAGGCAGCGAGCGUUGUUCGGAAUUACUGGGCGUAAAGAGUGUGUAGGCGGUGCUCCCAGUCUGUUGUGAAAUCUCCCGGCUUAACUGGGAGGGUGCAGCGGAAACUAGAGUGCUAGAGGGUGGGAGAGGUAAGCGGAAUUCCUGGUGUAGCGGUGAAAUGCGUAGAUAUCAGGAGGAACACCUGGUGUAGACAGCUUACUGGACCACUUCUGACGCUGAGACACGAAAGCGUGGGUAGCAAACAGGAUUAGAUACCCUAGUAGUCC
rnacentral:rRNA from 1 species